rnacentral:rRNA from 1 species
CAGCAGCCGCGGUAAUACGAGGGGGGCAAGCGUUGUUCGGAUUUAUUGGGCGUAAAGGGUGCGUAGGCGGUUUGGCAAGUCUUGUGUGAAAUCUUCGGGCUCAACCCGAAGCCUGCACGAGAAACUGCCGGGCUUGAGUAUUGGAGAGGUGAGUGGAAUUUCCGGUGUAGCGGUGAAAUGCGUAGAUAUCGGAAGGAACACCUGUGGCGAAAGCGGCUCACUGGACAAUAACUGACGCUGAUGCACGAAAGCUAGGGGAGCAAACAGGAUUAGAUACCCCCGUAGUCCCUGUCUCUUAUAU